GAUGAACGCUGGCGGCGUGCUUAACACAUGCAAGUCGAACGGAAAGGCCCAGCUUUCUGGGGGUGCUCGAGUCGAACGGGGGAGUGAAACGUGAGAAUCCUCCGCUUUACUCUGUGAGAAAACUUGAGAACAGUGGCGAUAACACCGGAUGAGAGCCCACGGCGUAUGGGGGGGUUUGGAGAUUUUUGGCGGUUGGGGAUGGACGCGCGGCUUAUCAGCUUGUUGGUGGGGUAGUGGCUUACCAAGGCCUAGACGGGUAGCCGGCCUGGGAGGGUGACCGGCCACAUUGGGACUGAGAUACGGCCCAGACUCCUACGGGAGGCAGCAGUGGGGAAUAUUGCACAAUGGGCGGAAGCCUGAUGCAGCGACGCCGCGUGCGGGAUGACGGCCUUCGGGUUGUAAACCUCUUUCAGUUGUGACGAAGCGUAAGUGACGGUACUUGCAGAAGAAGCACCGGCUAACUACGUG
rnacentral:rRNA from 1 species